ensembl:lincRNA Gm28401 predicted gene 28401
AGCUAGCCUUUAGAUUUGUCUGUUAACAGUAGAAAUGCUAUAAUAAAUCGGUAACAUAUGUUGCCAGGCAGGGAAAAGUGGUAGACAAGAGCCUGGGAGACCAAGCCAAAUUGCUUUCUUACCCAAAUUAUCUCCGUGAUUGCCUGUCCUGAGGCUUUGGGCCAAUGCAAACUACGGAAUGGCAAGUCUUACAAUCUUGUCUGUCCUUGUCUGGCAUCCAUCCUCCUUCCAGAGUGAACAGAGGUAUAUCCAUAAGCACUGGACACUGAUUUCACAGCCUCGUCCAAAGCCAGGCAAUUCUUGAGGCAAACAAACAAAGGGGUGUGAGUGAUUUCAUUUAUUUUGAUAAUCCUCUGUCUGCACAGGGGCACUUUGCUGUCUUUGUCAAAGUGAAUGACAACAAUUUGGCCAACUCUCUCUGAGCUGCACUCAACAGUGACAGGCAAAUUAUCAGAGGCCCUGCACUUCUUAUUAUCAGAGGAGAAGCCAUCAGGGGGACGCAGGGAGGAUGCCUCUCCCUUGUCACUAUUUGUCAGUGGGACAAGGGCCA